ensembl:lincRNA
CUAACUUGCAAGAGAACGGAUUCAAGGAUGUUUGCAGAACUGUAUGUUUUAAAGCCGUAUGAGAAGCUGGUCACCUCAGCUGGCGAUGGCAGACAGGGAGAGCGAGAGGCCAGAUGGGGACCAGGAGGAACAGAACGAGCUCCUCAGCUCUGAGCUGGACGAAGAGCCCAGCAGCUCGAGCUCGGGCCCCGCGCGGCUUCCCAGAGACCACUGCGACUUCCUGCUGGACGCCAUCGACGCCCAGCUCAGCCAGAUGCAGAGUGCCAGCUUCAGGAAGCAGGGCCAUGCUGGGAACUCACCUUGUAAAAGCACUGAAGAAACAUCCAGAGCAGCGACUUUCAGCCGAAGUCAGUCUCUGAGCAAGGAUGCAGGACUGGGCAGUACCAUUCAACCUGGCGACGCCCCCCUUUCAGAUCCACACAUGGUAUGCCCCAUGUUUCAAGACCCCUCCUCAGAGCCCAAAGGGAGGCGCCCAGACUCUGCCGAGGAGGAGAGAGAGGAGAGAGAAACUCGGAGAACGCAGGGAGGGGACUCCAGGAAGGAACAGUACAGGUGGAGGCUCGAGCAGCUCCUAGGAAGCCAAGGAGCAGGAGAGCAAGGGUACGAGAGCGACGUGAAUAUGGCGGAGAGUGUCUGCACGGAAGACUUUGCUGCGAAAUUCCGGGAAGGCAUGGUGGAUCCCCAGGUCGACCCAAACGGAGAGCUGGGAAGCGAUACUUCAGAGUGUCUCCCUGAGGAGCCCUUUGCUCCGAGGCGUCUUCGAGAGGGCCCCACCGAGCACCUGCGGAGCGGCACAGAGGCUGAUGAUGAACAGAUGGUGCUGGGGACACCGAGGGGGCGGGAUAACGCCCAGCAGAUCACGCAAGACUCUGAACGCGGCCUCACCUCGGAGGGGCUCGUCAAGGAGAGGUGUGGUUUGGGCCGGAGUCGCCGAGACAGUGAGGAAUCUCUCGGAGGUCGGAUCUCCAGGACGAGUCAGAGUAAUACUUCGGGCAAGGUCAGGAACUUAAGGAUUUCCACCCCUGAGCCAGUAUCCAUGAGCGAAAAUAGGAUGUCCGUCAUUGCUUUACAGAAUGGACAUGUCCAAUCUCUUCCUUGUCUGCCAGCAGCACUUGAUAAGGAGACAGGUCGGGAAAAGACUGGAUUCUCUCCAACACGGAUUUCGGAGGAUCUAUCACUGAGGAUGCCGUCAGUGAGCAGCCUUGAAAACCACCUCCCUGCCCAGCCCGUUCCUGCUGAUGGAAUACCAUCCUCUCUUGCUUUAGAUUCUCAUUUAUCUGUUGGUAAAGAUGAUGAACGACAAGCUCCAGGUCUGUCAGCCCUGGGCUCAAAUCGUUCCCCAGGAGGGAGACUCAUUGCCAUCGAUCCAGGGGUGUCCACACCUCCUUUUGGAGAACUCGGGGAGACGGUAAAGGGGUCCCUGGUGCAAGACCAAAGACACAUGGCGCCUUAUCAGGGUUGUGGAGCUCAGAAAGCUCACCAGCGGUCAAUCAGGAGAUCAGACAGCUGGCCCCCCACAUCGGGAUCCUCCCCUGGGACUGAAGUUAAUGAAGCUUCGGAUACUGGCAGAUCUAUCUUACUUCCUAACGCGAGCGAGCACCCCGACACAGCUGCCGACUCGCAGCGCUGGGGUCAGAGAGCGCCAGUGGCCUCCCUCCUUCCUCCAGCAAUGUCUGUGUCUUAUGAGACGGGUCACAUGGGAACUGGGAGUGCAAUAAGCCAAAACGAAGCUGCUGAAGAACAGUAUGGUUUGAGUCAAACCCCUAACAGCGGUGUGGACAGCACUGUGUCUCCUAGCGUUGCUGGAUUUCACAACACUUCUCGGAAAACUCUGGGAUCUCAAUGCAGCCUGCACACUGUUGGGACUGAAGAAUACGUGGGCACGUUUCCGACCCUGCCUGUCAAACAUGUGGCCGGUGUUCCUGUGAAGAAUUUUGAUGAAGUGACCAUUGACAGCGACCUGGAUUCAGUGAAUACAGCUCGAGUGCGCAAACACGUUCAAAGUGCGCUCCACAACAGCAAAGGUACUCGACCGUCAAAGUCACUGGUCGUAGAGGACCUGUACACAGACCAGAGUGACCUAGAUGCCGCCAAGCCGGAGGCCAUCCAGCGCACUUUCCACAGCCUCUUCCGCAAAAAGAAGACCCUGAGUCAAGGCGGGCGGAGAGCGAGCACGAACCGUUCUAGUGCACGUCACCCUGGCAGAAGAUCACAUCAUGGCAGGAAGGAAGCUUCCAGGUAUGCCAGCUCUGAUAAGACGCCGUCAGAGGAGGAGGAAGAGGGGUGCACAGGGGUCCAUGCAGCGCUGGAAUGGAGCCCCAGCAGGGCUCUGAGGUGGGAUGAAAGCCCCCAGAGAAGAGAGACGAGGGCUAAAGGGCUCGACCUUUCCCACGAGUCCCGUCUCUGGCUGGACGAGAUGAGCUCAGACAGGCUGGUGUUGGAGGAGUCUCUGUCCAGGCUGCGCAAGGACCUUGUGAAGGAAGAGGAGCGUCUGUUGCAGAAGAGAGCCCAGCAGCUGGAGGCUGAUCAGUCGCUCUCCGCCCUGUUGCACCAGAAGAAGCAAGCUCUGCGGGAGCUGGAGUCUGUGCGGGGGGCUGUUGAGCGCGGCGAGAGAGAGGCGAGCGUCCUGGAGGCAAGGCUGAGGGACAGCAGGAGCCAGGUGGAUGAAACCAGGUCACAGCUGCUGAUGCUGGAGUACCAACGGGAGUCCUGCCUGAAGGAAGGGAGGGCUCUGGAGGAGCAGCUGAGCACGCUCAGAGGGCAGUGUUCCCCUCCGCAGAGCCGCCAGGCGGGGGCGCUGCAGGACCGGGUGGCGGCCCUCAGCGCAGAGCGGGACGAGCUGAGGGCGCGGCUGAGGCACAGCGAGGGCAGCCUGACCCUGCUGGAGCGCCAGGAGCUGGAGCGACAGCUGGGCAGCGCCAAGAGCGAGCUGUUCGCCGAGCAGCGCCGGGCCCGGGAGAGGGCGGACGCGCUGCAGGAGAAGCUGGAGGAGUGCCAGACGGAGCUGGAGCAGCGAGCGGAUGAAGCCCUGGCCCUGCAGAGCAGGUGCUCCAGGCUGGAGGAGCAGCUCCGGGAGAAGGAGGCCCUGGCCCGGGAGCGGGGGGAGCGGGCGGCGGCGCUGGAGCGGAUCCUGGCGGAGAAGGAGCUGGAGAUGCUCCGGCUGCGGGAGGCCCAGG